AGACAGGCAGUAGGCUGGACUUGGCUCCUGAGCAGUAGUUUGCCAACCCCUAGUUUAGUAGCAAGACAAAAGAAGUUAUUUGCUAUGAGAUUAAAUAGAGAGUUUAAGCCAGAGACUAAUGCAGAACACCUACUGGAAAAGGAAAGGAAAGAGAGAGGAAGAUAAGAAUUUAUGAAAGAUCCUAAAAUAUAAACAGGAGCCCCAGCAGAUAACUUAGAAGGGUGGAAGGAAAAUUAUUUUUUCCUCCCUUACAAGGUGUUGUGGGUGGCCAAGAAAUGAGGAACAGCGUAGUGUUCAUCUACAAGGAAAUGAAGUCUCUGAACCUCAUCUUUGGACACAAUGUUCCAACCAGUUGUCUUAACCAAGUGCCUUGAAAAGAGAACAAGGUACCCUACGGGUGGUGUUGAGGCUGGUCCCCAACAUUGGUGGAAGAAGCACCUUUAUGGACCAGACAGCCAUGUACUCGGUCAGCCCCACUGCAGAUACGCCGGAAGGAGGUCCAAAAGCCGUUUUCAGGGAGAGGACUCUUUGCCCCUUGUUAGUUAAACCUUGGCAGACAUGCUGGGCAGGAAUGACAUACCCUAUGUAGACAACGUCUUGGUAUAUUACCCAAGCUGCUCUUGAACUCCUGGCCUCAAGUGAUCCUCCUACCUCGGCUUCCCAAAGUGCUGGUAUUACAGCUGUAAGCCAGCAUGCCUGGCCCCAAUUCUUAAGAAUAUGGGCUUUGGAAUCAGAUAACCUCCAUCUGCUUUCCUGACCCAUAGGAUAGAAAAUCAUGGCCGUCUAGAGCAGCAGUCCCCAACCAUUUUGGCACCAGGGACUGGUUUCAUGGAAGACAAUUUCCGUGGACAGGGGAUGGAGGGAUGCUUUUGGGAUGAAACUGUUCCACCUCAGAUCAUCAGGCAUUAGUUAGAUUUUCAUAAGUGGUGCUGAGUGCAUACCCUAGAUCCCUCACAUGCACAGUUCACAAUAGAGUUCCUGCUCCUAUGAGAAUCUAAUGUCACUGCUGAUCUGAGAGCAGGCGGAGCUCAGGCAGUAAUGCUUGCUCACCUGCUACUCACCUCCUGCUAUGCAGCCCAGUUCCUAAUAGGCCAUGGACUGGUACAGGUCCACGACCCAGG
rnacentral:lncRNA from 10 species